rfam:Salmo salar isolate Sally breed double haploid chromosome ssa09, whole genome shotgun sequence.
UGUAUUCACUACUGUAAGUCGCUCUGGAUAUGAGCGUCUGCUAAAUGACCAAAA